rnacentral:rRNA from 1 species
GGCUUAGAGUUUGAUCCUGGCUCAGGACGAACGCUGGCGGCGUGCCUAAUACAUGCAAGUCGAACGGUCUUUUCUAUGGAAGCUUGCUUCCGCUGAGAAGAUAGUGGCGAACGGGUGAGUAACACGUGGGUAACCUGCCCAUAAGAGGGGGAUAACAUCCGGAAACGGGUGCUAAUACCCGCAUAGUUUUCUUGAUCGCAUGAUCGAGAAAGGAAAGACGGCCUUUGUGCUGGCGCUUAUGGAUGGACCCGCGGCGUAUUAGUUAGUUGGKGA